GUACUACUCCCUCCGUUCGGAAUUACUUGUCUCGAAAAUGGAUGUAUCUAGAACUAAAAUACAUCUAGAUACAUCCAUUUCUACGACAAGUAAUUCCGAACGGAGGGAGUACGUC
rnacentral:pre_miRNA from 1 species